rnacentral:rRNA from 1 species
UACCAGCACCCCGAGUGGUCGGGACGAUUAUUGGGCCUAAAGCAUCCGUAGCCGGUUUUACAAGUCCUCCGUUAAAUCCAGCUGCUUAACAGAUGGGCUGCGGAGGAUACUAUAAGACUAGGAGGCAGGAGAGGCAAGCGGUACUCAGUGGGUAGGGGUAAAAUCCGUUGAUCCAUUGAAGACCACCAGUGGCGAAGGCGGUGGUCUGGGCCGGAACUGACGCUGUAGAGCGAAAGCGUGGGGAGCGAACAGG